AAGUAUGCUAGUCAGUUCAUCAUCUUUUGGAAGUUCUCAACAAGUUGCUUAGGCAACAAUAUCAGUAGCAUAAGCAAUCACCACCUGGUUUUCGAAAGAGGAAUACAAAUCUUGCACCACCACCAAGACAACAAGAACAAGGUUCUACAACUGAAACUUUGCUAUAGUAAAUUCUUUCUAACCAAAUUAAGCAUGAUGAAGAGAUUAGAGAGAUAAAGGCAAGGAUGGAAUAGAUGCAAACACAUAAUAGGAUGUUGGAAAAUCAGAUUGCACAACAAGUAAGCUCCUCAGGUACAAAGUUUACAGAAAAACUUUCUAAUCAGUAGGAAAACCCAAGGGAACAUUGUUAAGUCAUCACACUAAGAAGUGGAAAAGUAGUGAACAAUGAGAGAUUUGAGAAGAGUGAGGAGAGAAAAUGAGAAAGAUGUUGA
rnacentral:misc_RNA from 1 species